rnacentral:rRNA from 1 species
AUGGCCGCUCCAUCCAUGUCUGCCCGCAUUCCCAUCUUUGUGAUAGUCCUACUCUCCGCUCUCUCGGCUUCUUCUCCCGGUCCGAACAGUGACAAUGGCAGUGACAUCGACCUCGAAGCGCUGCUCACUUUCAAAGCACAGCUCGCCGACCCUCUCCACAUCCUUGCCGACAACUGGACCACCGGCACGUCUUUCUGCAACUAG